rnacentral:rRNA from 1 species
UACGUAGGGGGCUAGCGUUGUCCGGAUUUAUUGGGCGUAAAGAGCGUGUAGGCGGCCAGGUAGGUCUGCUGUGAAAACUCGAGGCUUAACCUCGAGCUGUCGGCGGAAACCAUCUGGCUAGAGUCCGGAAGAGGAGAAUGGAAUUCCCGGUGUAGCGGUGAAAUGCGCAGAUAUCGGAGGAAGACACCCGGUGCGAAGGCGGUUCUCUGG